rnacentral:tRNA from 2 species
GGAGAGGUGGCAGAGUGGCUGAAUGUACCGGUUUCGAAAACCGGCGUGGGGCAACCCACCGGGGGUUCGAAUCCCCCCCUCUCCGCCA